UUUUUUGUCAGAAAGAACACAAGGUUUCAAAACUAUGGGUCUUGAACCGAUUCCAAAAGUUGGGAACCAGUUCAAACUAUCCACUGGCCUAAAACCAAAGUGGACUGUAGGUCUGGAAUCGGUUCCAAUGUUUGGGAAUCGGUUCAAGGCUUUGGGCAUAGGCACUUAAGGCCUGUUGUGCGCACUGUAAAGGCUCUUUGCUCUCUCUUUCUCUAGGCUUAUGAAGUUGAAAAGAGUGUUUUGCUGAUAUAAUGAAGGAUGAUAUAGUCAAUCUGAACCGAUCUUUCAUGUCUACUACUACAACCCCUAAUUUUGAUCCAAUGGAUGACCAAUCUUUCUUAUCUGCAACACCAAAUCUUGUUCCGACAGUUGCAAUGCCAUUGAGCUUGGAGGCGAAGGGGAAAGAGCCUGUAGUUGUGCCUUAUUUUGAGGAAAGACCGAAAUUGAAGCAACGGAAACUUAACACUUAUUAUGGUGAGACAUCAGAGGUCAACCCUCCGAAUCCAGAACAGGGAUGAGCGGCCAACAUGUAUUGUGACUACUUUUGCAGACAAGGUUGAAAAGAGGUGGCUCAAUUUUUAUCACCUUGAGCAUUUCCAGAAGCAUCGCUAUGGUUUUGGAAAAGUUUCGGUUGCUCCAUCGGUCACUUCUACAUGUGGGCUGCGCCUGUUUUUUGAGACCUGCUUUAUAAGGUUUUAGGCUUUUGUCUAGUGUGUAAGAAAUUUUUGGGCUUCAGGGUAUAGCCUGCUUAUUUGCGGAUUGUUACAUGCAUUAUUUAAGUUGGUGUAAAGAUAUAAAUUAACUAGUUUGAUGUGAUUUUGCAGUUG